rnacentral:rRNA from 1 species
CAGCAGCCGCGGUAAUACAGAGGGUGCGAGCGUUAAUCGGAAUUACUGGGCGUAAAGCGCGCGUAGGCGGCUUUGCAAGUCGGGUGUGAAAUCCCCAGGCUUAACCUGGGAACUGCAUUCGAGACUGCAUUGCUAGAGUAUGGGAGAGGGAAGUGGAAUUUCCGGUGUAGCGGUGAAAUGCGUAGAUAUCGGAAGGAACAUCAGUGGCGAAAGCGACUUCCUGGACCAAUACUGACGCUCAUGUGCGAAAGCGUGGGGAGCAAACAGG